AUUAACUCAGAUAUAAAGAACAAAUUUUGAAAUUAAGUCAAAAGACUAUAAAUUUACAGAUUUAAGAGGACCAAAAUUGAGAUUGACUUAACUCUAACUUCAAGCUCUUUUCAACAAUGUCGAUUUCUGUGACAACAAGCUUGGAAUCUGUCAGUGUCUAUCAUUGAUCUUAAGAAGAAGCUGUCUUCUUUUGAAAAUCAAGAAAGCAGCAACAACUACUUGCAAAGCUGCAGCUACGCCGGCGAAGAAAAGCCCCACCGUCUUUCCUGUGUUCACCUUCUGCUUCUUCGGAGGAGGCGGUGGUGGAUGUUUAUGGUGUCUUCUCUGUCUCCAUUUCUUUCUUCGGUGGUGAUGUUUCUCGUGAAUCGCCUUGUUACUCUCAAUAGCCGUUAUAGGAGACGGCGGUGGAGAUAAGGAUAGUGGCGGUGGAGGAGGCGGUGGUGGUGGAGUAAUUGAGGAAGAAUCUUGUGAUUUUGAGUCAACGAAGAUAGAAGCAGAGAUGAAGAAGAAGACGAAGCAGAAAAGAAAAAGUCUCGAACUUUGUGAUGAAGGUUCCAUUGGUAGAAAUCUGAGAAAUUACAGAGGAAAAAACAGAGUGAGAUUCGAAAUUUGGGAUAUGAGCUCAAAAUCUCAGAAUUAUGAAAUUAGGGUUUCUCGAUUUGAGUAACUGAAAAACCAAUAGUUGUAUAGUGGGAGAAGAAUCUGAAUCGUUUCGAGGAAAAGAAAGAGAAGCGAAUCUGAAGAAGAAGAAGGUGUAACGUAAAUAAU